CAGAUGAACCACACCUGUGUAUGAUUGAGAGUAAAGGUGUAGGCCUAGUCAGGCUGCCCUUCCUUGUUGAAUCUUAAAAUAACAUUUAAGCUAUCCAGCUGGGCUGUUUUGCUGUAUUGUGGCUUGGAAACGUCAACUUCAAAAGAUCAUUCUGUGAUUGUGGCUGCAGGCCCCAGUGCCCCCCCCCCCCCCCAGUGGAGGAGCGUCUGUCUCCGUGGCGCCCAGCUCCGUCUCCUGCCGACACCUCCAGAUGGUGCGCUUCGCGGGAGGUCCUCUCCUCCUCCUCCUCCUCUUCCUCCUGCCGGACAGGCACGCCUCCCAGGUUUGAUUUGCUUCCAUUCCUCCAUUUUCAGGAGCGACUCACCACGAGGAAAUGGCGCCAUUUUGGUCUCGCCACCCACCAUGUGCCAGAUCUUUCCUUUGAGGAAAUUGGUUGGACUCGGAGGCAUAUAAAUAUAUUUGACAGCACUCCGGUGGAAACAACAGAAUUGCAACGAAUGAAAAAGACCGAACUACAGCACUCCGAGAAGGAAACCGUGUAAAAUAACACCUGAAUGGAUACCGGAUUGGAACUCCAUCAAGCACUUCGUAGGCGGACAUUUUAUAACAUGCAUUUUAUGAGGUUUGCUAAGGCGGACAGAGAAACAUCCGUGUCAGUCAAUUAUGUCAUGUGUGUGUAGAAUAACUGCCACGAAGAUCUUUUGAGUGUGCAUUGCCCGUAAGUAUUAUUCCAGACUUCGUAGAUUUUAAUAUAUGUUUUCGUUUAUCUGCUGAUUUUUAAAGUAUUCUUGUAUUUGUUGUGAGAGUCGUAAUAUACUUGGUUUAUUAGAAUAAAUAAUAUAAUAAACGCUCAGCUACUAAUCUGGAAGUACCGAAUAUAUAUAUAUAUAUAUAGAUGUAGUCAAUGCAUCUUUGUAAUUGGCACUCUGUUAUCAUUUAUUUUUUCCGUUCUGUGCAUUUGAAAAAUUAAAGUUUGCAAAAAAUA